rnacentral:rRNA from 1 species
AGCGAACGCUGGCGGCAGGCCUAACACAUGCAAGUCGAACGAACUCUUCGGAGUUAGUGGCGGACGGGUGAGUAACACGUGGGAACGUGCCCUUAGGUUCGGAAUAACUCAGGGAAACUUGUGCUAAUACCGAAUGUGCCCUUCGGGGGAAAGAUUUAUCGCCUUUAGAGCGGCCCGCGUCUGAUUAGCUAGUUGGUGAGGUAAAGGCUCACCAAGGCGACGAUCAGUAGCUGGUCUGAGAGGAUGAUCAGCCACAUUGGGACUGAGACACGGCCCAAACUCCUACGGGAGGCAGCAGUGGGGAAUCUUGCGCAAUGGGCGAAAGCCUGACGCAGCCAUGCCGCGUGAAUGAUGAAGGUCUUAGGAUUGUAAAAUUCUUUCACCGGGGACGAUAAUGACGGUACCCGGAGAAGAAGCCCCGGCUAACUUCGUG